rnacentral:rRNA from 1 species
AGCAGCCGCGGUAAUUCCAGCUCCAAUAGCGUAUAUUAAAGUUGUUGCAGUUAAAAAGCUCGUAGUUGAAUUUCGGGAUCAAAUUGUUGGUCGUGCUUCGGUACGCACUGGCAUUAUUGGUUCCUACCUUCUGAAGAACCGCGAUGUCAUUAAUUUGGUGUCGUGGGGAAUCAGGACUGUUACUUUGAAAAAAUUAGAGUGUUUAAAGCAGGCUUACGCUUGAAUACAUUAGCAUGGAAUAAUGAAAUAGGACGUUUGAUUCUAUUUUGUUGGUUUCUAGGAUCGACGUAAUGAUUAAUAGGGAUAGUUGGGGGCAUUAGUAUUCAAUUGUCAGAGGUGAAAUUCUUGGAUUUAUUGAAGACUAACUACUGCGAAAGCAUUUGCCAAGGAUGUUUUCAUUAAUCAAGAACGAAAGUUAGGGGAUCGAAGACGAUCAGAUACCGUCGUAGUCUUAACCAUAAACUAUGCCGACUAGGGAUCGGAUGAUGUUAAUUUUAUAAUGACUC